AAUGGAAAAUUACCUAUAUGGUAACAAUAUCCUGGGAGACAGUCAACAUGGUUUUAGGAAAGGGGAAUUGUGUCUAACUAACCUGCUUGACUUUUUUGAGGAUGCAACAUUGACAAUGGAUAAUUGCAAAGCAUACAACAUGGUUUAUUUAGAUUUCCAAAAAGCUUUUGACAAAGUCCCGCAUAAAAGAUUAAUUCUCAAACUGAACGCAGUAGGGAUUCAAGGAAAUGCAUGCUCAUGGAUUAGGGAGUGGUUAACAUGUAGAAAACAGAAAGUACUGAUUAGAGGAGAAACCUCAAAAUGGAGCGAGGUAACCAGUGGAGUACCACAGGGAUCAGUAUUAGGUCCUCUGCUAUUCCUAAUCUACAUUAAUGAUUUAGAUUCUGGUAUAGUAAGCAAACUUGUUAAAUUUGCAGACGACACAAAAACAGGAGGAGUGGCAAACACUGUUGCAACAGCAAAGAUUAUUCAAAUGAUCUAGACAACAUUCAGAACUGGGCAGACACAUGGCAAAUGACAUUUAAUAGAGAAAAGUGUAAAGUAUUGCAUGCAGACAAUAAAAAUGUGCAUUAUAAAUAUCAUAUGGGAGAUAGUGAAAUUGAAGAAGGGAACUAUGAAAAAGACCUAGGAGUUUAUGUUGACUCAGAAAUGUCUUCAUCUAGACAAUGUGGAGAAGCUAUAAAAAAGGCCAACAAGAUGCUCGGGUAUAUUGUAUAUAAAUAUAUUUCUCAUAAAAACUCUGGAGGCACGACAGGAGAUGUGGUCGUUUCUUCCUUAUCUAAUUCAUGAAAUGAUUCAGCAAAAUGUGUUGCAAGGACUUCAUACAAGCACAUCAAUUCUGUUUUUGAAAGAUAACACGAUAGAAGGUUACAAAACCAGUAGUUUAACUUUUGUAUUGCCAGUUCUGUAACAAACAAAACAGUGUCAACUGUUUUAAUCAGUGUACUUGCUCAGCUUAACGACAGGUUGUAAAUGAUGAGAUAGUUAACAUUUCCUGAAACUACCACGUCUCCUGUUGUCGUGCCUCCAGAGUUUUUAUGAGAAAUAUAUUUAUCUACUAAUGUUGAUUUAUUUGAUCUCCUGGAGUUCUGUAUUGCACAUAGAUAAUACACUGAAUAUGUACUUACAGGCAGAAGUUAUUAGAAGAAUGUAUAACCAAUAUAAGUUCCAUCAUUUCUUUUCAGUAUGCUUUGGUUUUGGUUGUGGAUUAGUAAGCUACAGGCCUUAUUACUGUAAGUAACCUUAAUAGUGCUUUAUGGUUUAAUAAAGUCUCACAGCGUUGCCACAUACUUAAUUUCCAAACUAACAUAAAAGCAAUAGACUUCAGGAUGAAGGAAUUUUGGUUAUUUUUAGGUUAACCUUACUAUUGUUGAAAAGUAAAAUAAACAUGAGGCAGGAUUAGAGUUUGAUGUUUUGUUUUUAGCACCUGUAUAGCAGAAUCUUAUUCCAGAAGUGAUGACAACAUUUGUGUUUUUCAGCCCUUACUAUGCUUAUAGUCCUGACUGUGUUUUUCACUUUGGUCUUUGAAUUGGUUGGUGUGUCCUUUGGACUUCCAGCCCACACGACAAGAUGCAAAGGAAAACCAUAUAACAGAAGUGAUGCAUAUUUUGGGUUAUGUAUUGCCCUUGGUGUUGCACUUCUUAACCUUGAUACAAAUUAUGGUAAGUGGUACAUGUUCUCUUGUUUCUUUGUCAAAUUUUGAGUCAGUGAGUUUCAUGCAAUUAUCUCUGAAGCAUGUACACUGAAAAGCUGAGUAAAUCAGAACGGUCAAAUCCGUUAGGUUUGGGUAAGCCCUGCUGUGUGGCUAGUUUAAAUUUAUAAAUAUUGUUUCUGGAUACAUACAGUGUAGUUUAAAAAAACAAAUAUAACA